rnacentral:rRNA from 1 species
GAUGAACGCUGGCGGCGUGCCUAAUACAUGCAAGUCGAGCGAACGGACGAGAAGCUUGCUUCUCUGAUGUUAGCGGCGGACGGGUGAGUAACACGUGGAUAACCUACCUAUAAGACUGGGAUAACUUCGGGAAACCGUAGCUAAUACCGGAUAAUAUUUUGAACCGCAUGGUUCAAAAGUGAAAGACGGUCUUGCUGUCACUUAUAGAUGGAUCCGCGCUGCAUUAGCUAGUUGGUAAGGUAACGGCUUACCAAGGCAACGAUGCAUAGCCGACCUGAGAGGGUGAUCGGCCACACUGGAACUGAGACACGGUCCAGACUCCUACGGGAGGCAGCAGUAGGGAAUCUUCCGCAAUGGGCGAAAGCCUGACGGGGCAACGCCGCGUGAGUGAUGAAGGUCUUCGGAUCGUAAAACUCUGUUAUUAGGGAAGAACACAUGUGUAAGUAACUGUGCACAUCUUGACGGUACCUAAUCAGAAAGCCACGGCUAACUACGUG